GCUGUGGUGUAUCCAGUGCUAUGUCAUAUUCAUUCAGUGUCAAAAGCAAUUCAAUUUCCCUUCUCCACUUUCUGUAAUUACUUCCACCCGUGAGUAUUGGCACAGCAGCCAAAUUCAUUGUUUUUAGUGAAACUGCAGAAGAUAACAAUGAAAUCAACACUUUGAAUCUUUUAGGAUUCAUGAUUUCUAUCUAUUUCACCAUGUAAUCCUCAUCAUGAGUCAAUUUUGUCAUACAUGGUUUCAAACUUUGAUAAAGAUAACCAUAUAUAGAGUAAACAACUCACAGAAGAUUGCAUUCAAGAAUCAUGUUCAAAAGGGAUGAUGUUCAUAUAUCACACCACAUGAAUCGAAUAUCAAAAUUCAAUAAACCCAAUAUAAAACAGCAGCGGAAACUCAAAAAUAAUUGAUUCAGUUUAUCCAUUUAGAUGAUUUUGAUUCGAAUUGGCGAGAUGCUAGCAAAUUCUCUAAUUAUAAGCAUAUAUACGGUAUUCUUUAGUUCAAAUAAUUUCUUACACUAAUUUCAAGUUUUAAAAUUGUAGACAUACCUUUUGGAACAAUCAAUGAAUGCAAUUGGCAUGAGAAGGAUAAAAAGGACGAAAAUUCCUUAAAUCGCUAUAAACCCAGAAACUGGGAAAAGGAAAAGAGCUAAGGGAGAGGAAAAGUCGCAAAACCCAGCAAACAUAAGGGUAAGACCCCUUUUUUUUUUUUUUUUUUUUUUUUUUUUUUUUAAUAAAACGGUGUCGUUUGCUAUUGUUAUUUUCAAAACAGGUUAUGAUUCUGGGUUUGGUAAUUAUAGGUUCUUGUCCAGAUUGUUGUGCAAAAAAAAAAAAUAAUAAUUCGAACUUAAUGGCAAUUAUCUCUCCCAAGCUCUAAUACCACAUGUAAGAACUAUAUCACAGAUCAAAGAUAUGCCAGUAAGUUACCAAUACUCCAACAAUCGAACUAAGUGACAAAACUACAAACACGAAUAUGAAACCAGUGGAAAACAUACCUGCAGAACUUGAACUCGAAGAAGCCAUAGCAGGUUCACAACCAAGCAAUCUUCUCCUCUUUAGCAAAACUAGAAAACUCUCUGAAUAAUAGGUAUUCAAUACAAGAUGAGCCGUGUCUUUGCAAGAGCAGUGAUUGAGGUUAUAUACAACAUUAAUCCAACUCAUUCUCCUAUUAGAAUUAGUGUUGAACUCUAAAACAAAACCUUUUCACACAAUGAGUGUACAAGAUCAAUUAGUGUAGGAUCCGAAACCUUUUCCAGAGGAACACUAAAAGCACUCAUAAUCCUACAAGGACGAGGAUUCAACCAAACACCUUAUCAAGACUUUUCCAUUCAAGAAUUCAUCCAAUAUUAUAGCUAAUCCUCAAACAUGUUUCAUACUCAUAUUCCAACACUAGUUACCAGAGAAUGACUUUUAUCCUUCUAUAAACAGGCAGUUGAUAAAGGUGACUCUGGCCCAAUAUAACUUGACUCAUAAACUGGAAACUUUGAGGCUUCAAACUCUGAGCCAAAAGUUGAAGCUUCUCACUCAACAAACAAAAAUUACAAAUCCAAAACUAAAAAGAAUCAGAAACAAACUAAAACAUGGGAUUGGUGAAGGCCAUACCUUCGAAAGCAUAGACGCAGACAGCUCUUCGAGAGCGAUCCCAACUCCGGGGUCGGAGGCGGAAACAGAGGCCAAUAUCCUCAAGAUUUUGCGUUGACGAUUGUGAGAUCGGGAUAAAACGGUCGAAACCAAAUUUGCAAGUUUUGAAAAAACGUUAAGGAAUCUGGGUUUCAAUGAAUAAGGAGGUUGCAAAUAAAAUCCCCAAAGAAACAAAAAAAAGGUCUCCCAUGUCGGUAUUUUGUGAGAGAAAAAGCGCAAGAUUCGAGAGCGAGUUCAACAG
rnacentral:lncRNA from 1 species